UAGAAAGAAGGAAAUGUUGCCAGGCUUUCUGAGGGUUAUAGUUUCGAAGCAUUCACCAGUUUUGAAAGUGUCCUCUCUAGAAUCUGAUGACAUCUCUCAAUCCAGAGGGUUUCUUGAUUGGAAGGGUAAGGCAAACUACUGAAAUCAGACUACUGCUUGGAAGAUAUACGGAUCGGAGAAGUAGGCCACCACUGGAGAAGGUCCACGAAGAGAAUGGGCGGCAUAUCACCAGCCUGAACGCGCAUUUGACGGCGGCCUAAUGGAAUGAAUUCUGCAGCCCGCUCCCCCGACCCCCCAGCGCAAGCUGGUAUUGCAUUAAACGCUGCUUUGAAGCUGCCUGAUGAAGCUGAAAGACUUUCGGUCUGAAGCUCUGAGACCAUUUCAACACGUGAGGCUUGAUCCAAAGUUUGCACAGCUGUUACCUAGUUUUCCGAAAACCUUCUAUAGCAAUACCUCCCCGGGAGACGGGUUCAAAGACUCAUCAAAUUUGGUCAAUGAAAAAGCAGGUCGGAUACCACCACCUCUAGCACAUCUGCUCCAAUUCGGGUACAGAAAGUUCAGGUCAGUCUGAUUUCUGAUUUUGUUCCCCUGCUGAUAGCUUGAUGAAUGCCAUACUGAUGCAAUAGAAGUAAAUCAUAUGGAAAGAGA